AACGAACGCUGGCGGCAUGCCUAACACAUGCAAGUCGAACGAAGGCUUCGGCCUUAGUGGCGCACGGGUGCGUAACGCGUGGGAAUCUGCCCUUUGCUUCGGAAUAACAGUUAGAAAUGACUGCUAAUACCGGAUGAUGUCGCAAGACCAAAGAUUUAUCGGCAAAGGAUGAGCCCGCGUAGGAUUAGCUAGUUGGUGGGGUAAAGGCCUACCAAGGCGACGAUCCUUAGCUGGUCUGAGAGGAUGAUCAGCCACACUGGGACUGAGACACGGCCCAGACUCCUACGGGAGGCAGCAGUGGGGAAUAUUGGACAAUGGGCGAAAGCCUGAUCCAGCAAUGCCGCGUGAGUGAUGAAGGCCUUAGGGUUGUAAAGCUCUUUUACCCGGGAUGAUAAUGACAGUACCGGGAGAAGAAGCUCCGGCGAACUCCG
rnacentral:rRNA from 1 species